rnacentral:rRNA from 1 species
CCUUUAGGUUUGGAAUAACUCCGAGAAAUCGGGGCUAAUACCGAAUGAUGCAGCGGCAUCUCAUGAUGAUGUUGUUAAAGUCUAUAUGGCGCCUAUUGAUGAGCUUGCGUCUGAUUAGCUUGUUGGUAAGGUAAUGGCUUACCAAGGCUGCGAUCAGUAACUGGUCUGAGAGGAUGAUCAGCCACACUGGAACUGAGACACGGUCCAG